rnacentral:tRNA from 1 species
GGGGCGGUAGCUCAAUUGGUAGAGUACCACAAUGGCAUUGUGGGGGUCAGGGGUUCGAUCCCCCUUCGCUCCA